rnacentral:rRNA from 1 species
UACGUAGGGGCCGAGCGUUGUCCGGAGUUACUGGGCGUAAAGCGCGCGCAGGCGGCUCGUCAAGCCUGACGUGAAAGCCCCCGGCUCAACCGGGGAGGGUCGUCGGGGACUGGCGGGCUUGAGGUCGGCAGGGGUUGGUGGAAUUCCCGGUGUAGUGGGUGAAAUGCGUAGAGAUCGGGAGGAACACCCGUGGCGAAGGCGGCCAACUGGGCCGGACCUGACGCUGAGGCGCGAAGGCGUGGGGAGCGAACGGG